rnacentral:snRNA from 1 species
GGAUAUGAUGGUCAUCUGGCUGGGAACAUCUGAUCGCUAUGGUUGAUUUGGCUGAUUCGGCUACCUAGGCAGGUAUCCCCCUCCUUCCUCAGAACUCCAUGUACAUUUUUUCAUAAACUGUUCCCAUGGUCAAGAAGGACCUUCCCUGAAUAGAGCAGGACCUCAGCUGAGGGUAUAUGAGUAGCUGUGCUCCCCUGCCAGAACCUCCAGCAGGCUCUCAAAGACUAAUAACAUGUACACAAGUUAUUUCAUCUAACUACCUAGUUCCUGAACUUCUGU